rnacentral:tRNA from 1 species
GCCGAGGUGGCGGAAUUGGCAGACGCGCUAGGCUCAGGACUUAGUGGGUUUACGCCCGUAGGGGUUCAAAUCCCCUCCUCGGCA